UACGUAGGGUGCGAGCGUUAAUCGGAAUUACUGGGCGUAAAGCGUGCGCAGGCGGUCAGUUAAGUCUGAUGUGAAAGCCCCGGGCUUAACCUGGGAAUGGCCAUGGAAACUGGCGAACUGGAGUGUGGCAGAGGGGGGUGGAAUUCCGCGUGUAGCAGUGAAAUGCGUAGAGAUGCGGAGGAACACCGAUGGCGAAGGCAGCCCCCUGGGCUAGCACUGACGCUCAGGCACGAAAGCGUGGGGAGCAAACAGG
rnacentral:rRNA from 1 species